rnacentral:rRNA from 1 species
UACGUAGGGGGCAAGCGUUGUCCGGAUUUAUUGGGCGUAAAGAGCUCGUAGGCGGCUUGUCGCGUCAACUGUGAAAACCCGUGGCUCAACCAUGUGGUCUGCAGUCGAUACGGGCAGGCUAGAAUUCGGUAGGGGAGACUGGAAUUCCUGGUGUAGCGGUGAAAUGCGCAGAUAUCAGGAGGAACACCGGUGGCGAAGGCGGCAUCCUGGACCGACACUGACGCUGAUGAGCGAAAGCCAGGGGAGCAAACGGG